GCGUCUGGGCAUCACUGGGCUCAGCUUAGAGGUGGGUUUCGGAGAAGUCUCUGGCGGAACGCGGCGGCAAAGCAUCGCUCACUCUACAAGUCUUUCCAUUUCUGAGAGCGAAAAGAACUUAAGCGGGCGGCACGCGAAGUGUAGAUUGCUUUGUAGUAUUUCAAAGCAGCGCUGACCAUGGGCAGAGGAGCGAAUAUGUGCAACAGAAACUACUCAAUGGACCUGUGCUGGGUAUCUGACCUCCAGAAGGGCAGUGUCUGCUCUCACUCUGACUGCUGUCCUGCUGGAGUCACCAGCCUCAUCUUUCACUGUCCUGCACAGAGCAUGCCUCAGGACAGUAGGCAGCAAUAACCCAGCAUCUCCACCUGUGCAAUAAUUAACCACCUCGUGCUGCUCCAGCUUCCAUGAACUCCUCAUUCUAGGCACCCACAGGCAUCCCAGUACCUUACUCUCCUAGUUCUGAUCAAGAUUCUC